rnacentral:lncRNA from 1 species
AAAAGCUGAGAUAGCUUUAUUGGCACAAAAGAAACUCAUAACAAUUUAAGGUAUUUUGCCUUAAACUUAUUUAAUAAUUUCUUUUUUGCGAAUAUUUCAAACUGUGAGAGGUCGCAUAAAUUAAGCCAAAAAGAAUCUAAAUUAUAAUCCAUAGUUUAAUUUUAGAAAGAAAAAACAAAUAGGAAAUUGGCGCAGUUUAAUUAUCAUAAUAGACGUUAUUAAUUAUUAAUCUUUUCCCACGAAACUCACUGCUACAUGGGAGACGAGGGCUCGCCAAAAAGGAUGGAAAGAAGGGGCAGCCAAGUCUCACACUCAUUCUCAGGGAAAUGUACAGACUAUGUAACAUUGCCAUGGCCUCAAGUAGCAUAUCUCCACUUGAUCUGGUUCCAGGUUCUGGUGGCAACAAAGUUGUCUAUAGUUAAGUCUCAGCUCCAAAUGGCGUUGUCAUACUAUUGGAUUCCAUCAGUUUCGAACCAUACACCCAAGUUUAGUGUAGAGACCAAUAUAUUAUUUCUAUCUCUAUAUAUCUAGUUAUCUGAAACAGAUUGCCAUUACACUAUAACGCAAAGCCUUUCUAUUUAUCCUGCUAUGUUAAAAUUCCACUAGUAAAAUUUUGAGUGUAGAUUGUCAUCAACUGCCAUAAAAAAAGUUCAUCUGUAAGAUUUUCAUUUAUCAUCCUUUUAUAUCCGUGGAGAUGAAGGUAAACCAUGAAGUAUCACAACUCGUCGUAUUUAGACAUGUUUUUGAGGCCGGUGAAGCAAUUCUGACAUGUUAGCUGAUUUACCUGUUAUGCUGAAGGAGACAAAGUUGAGAUGAUUCUCAAUUUCUCUCCCUAGGUCACUUGAACCUUUUCCUCCCUAUAUUCUGGCACCAAGUUUGGAAACAGGUUACAACAAAGUUAUCACCAUAGUAAUGGUAACAAAGACACGUUACCAGUAGAGAUUAGAACAUCUGAGCACAGGGAGUGGAAACAUAGCUCUUAAUUCUCAAGUUUAGAUGAAUUACUAAUACUUUAUAAUCGCCCAAAUUUUGUAUCGUGGCAGAGGUUUCAUUUAUAAUCCUUGAUUUGUGUCUUGCACGUUAUUAGAGGCGGAGCCAUGAUUUCAAGCUUAU